CCUUGCCGCCGGCGACCGGCGCACGGGUGAGUAACGCGUAUGCGACCUGCCCGUUGCAGGGGGAUAAUCGGGAGAAAUCCCGUCUAAUACCGCGUAACGCCGCGGGGCUGCAUGGCCCUGCGGCCAAAGGGAGCGAUUCCGGCAACGGAUGGGCAUGCGUGACAUUAGCUAGUUGGCGGGGCAACGGCCCACCAAGGCGACGAUGUCUAGGGGUUCUGAGAGGAAGGUCCCCCACACUGGUACUGAGACACGGACCAGACUCCUACGGGAGGCAGCAGUGAGGAAUAUUGGUCAAUGGGCGCGAGCCUGAACCAGCCAAGUCGCGUGAGGGAUGACGGCCCUACGGGUUGUAAACCUCUUUUGUCGGGGAGCAAAUUCCGUUACGUGUAACGGAGUCGAGAGUACCCGAAGAAAAAGCAUCGGCUAACUCCGUGCCAGCAGCCGCGGUAAUACGGAGGAUGCGAGCGUUAUCCGGAUUUAUUGGGUUUAAAGGGUGCGUAGGCGGACUGUCAAGUCAGCGGUAAAAUACGGGGGCUCAACCUCCGCCCGCCGUUGAAACUGACGGUCUUGAGUGGGCGAGAAGUAUGCGGAAUGCGUGGUGUAGCGGUGAAAUGCAUAGAUAUCACGCAGAACUCCGAUUGCGAAGGCAGCAUACCGGCGCCCAACUGACGCUGAAGCACGAAAGCGUGGGUAUCGAACAGGAUUAGAUACCCUGGUAGUCCACGCAGUAAACGAUGAAUACUAGCUGUCCGGGGCGAAUGAGCCCUGGGUGGCACAGCGAAAGCGUUAAG
rnacentral:rRNA from 1 species